rnacentral:rRNA from 1 species
UACGUAGGGGGCAAGCGUUGUCCGGAAUCAUUGGGCGUAAAGCGCGUGUAGGCGGUUCAGUAAGUCUGCUGUGAAAGUCCAGGGCUCAACCCUGGGAUGCCGGUGGAUACUGCUGGGCUAGAGUACGGAAGAGGCGAGUGGAAUUCCCGGUGUAGCGGUGAAAUGCGCAGAUAUCGAGAGGAACACCGGUGGCGAAGGCGGCCAACUGGACGAAUACUGACGCUGAGACUCGAAAGCUAGGGGAGCAAACAGG